rnacentral:rRNA from 1 species
GGGCCCGCACAAGCGGUGGAGCAUGUGGUUUAAUUCGACGCAACGCGAAGAACCUUACCCAGACUUGACAUGCAUUGGACGGGUGUGGAAACACACCUUCCCUUCGGGGCCGAUGCACAGGUGCUGCAUGGCUGUCGUCAGCUCGUGUCGUGAGAUGUUGGGUUAAGUCCCGCAACGAGCGCAACCCUUGUCCUUAGUUGCUAACGGGUAAAGCUGAGCACUCUAAGGAGACUGCCGGUGAUAAACCGGAGGAAGGUGGGGAUGACGUCAAGUCCUCAUGGCCCUUACGUCUGGGGCUACACACGUGCUACAAUGGCUGACACAAAGGGUUCCGAUACCGCGAGGUGGAGGCAAUCCCAAAAAGUCGGUCUCAGUUCGGAUUGCAGUCUGCAACUCGACUGCAUGAAGUCGGAAUCGCUAGUAAUCGCUGAUCAGCAGGCAGCGGUGAAUACGUUCCCGGGCCUU